UCCUUUCUUAGGAUCACACCUGGAGAGUUUCCAGUACUCUACCAGUCUCGGCUAUGGAAGGGAGAGUCAAGCAGAGGCAUACCCAUUCCAUUCCUAGCUUGGGCAGUGGCUAGCAAGUGGAAGGCAAUCUGCUACAAGU
rnacentral:snoRNA from 2 species